rnacentral:misc_RNA from 1 species
UUUAAAGUGCAACAUAACAAUACUAUUAUAAAUAAAAAUAAAAAUAAAUACUAUCUAGUGCAACAUAAAAACGGGUGAUAUUUAUGAAAUCAAGUUGAACUGACAAUUAAAUUAUUUUUUUUUAAAAAAAAAUUGAACUACAAUUUUUUUUAUUAGUUAUGUUUACAGAAAUUAAAUUCUUUCGUCACUUCUCUUCCAACUUCCAGAGCACAGUCCAACCCAUUUUAUCAUCAGCAAGGCCCAUCUGUAUAUUAGAAAGGGCAGAGGAGAGCUGCCUGGACACAGUACCAAGUCCGCCUUCCUUGUAGGACAACCUGAAGCCAAACCCCAAAACAAAAGAAAUGGCAGCAUUAAUAUAUAAGCAAUAAUGCAUCUCAGAAACUACCAGGUAAAAUUCAACACUAUAUCACAUUGAAUUGUCACUUGAUAGGUGUUCAUGCUAGAACACUGAUGUCCAUGAUCCCAUCCAUAAGAAUGUGAUGAUCUAAAUCUGGAACUUCUCUCAAGCUGCUUUUUAAGGUAUCAGAAUAUCUUUCAAAUUUUUAGGAACAUAUCUUAGGUAAGGGUUAAAUUUUCAACUCUUGGUAAACUUUCUCGAUAGAUUGGCCUUUUAAGCUUGGUAGCAUUUCCGGAUAAAUCCUGCACAGUGUUCAAAUGCAGGAAACAAAUAUAAGAACUUUACCUUUUACCCUGGUAAGUAAUGCUACCCACAGGCAAUAAACCAACAGCAUUUCCCGUACAAAAAACUUCAUCAGCACUAAAUAAUUCCUCAACUGAAACAGGUCUCUCCUCAACCUGUUCAUAAGUAAAAAUGUCAUGCAUUAUAAACUCUAAUUAUCUGGACUCCUAAAAACCUGGUGAAAUCAGGAUCCCAAAGAACACAGACUCUUCAAGUCAGAUUAAAUGCACACUUUAACAACAGUUUCCAAUGCAAAAGAAAAAGGGCCCACUGGAUGAAUAAGACUGGAAAUUGGUGAGAAAAGAGACGGCUAUAACAUUCUGACCACCUAACCUGCUGCACUCUUGUCAGCAAAACAUUGUUUUACCCAGAAGUAUCGGUGCUAUCAUUGCCUACGAUAGUAAAGCAUUUCUCUAAAAAAUGUAAACACAUGGAAACUAGAUUAAGAGAGUGAAGUCCCAGACAUUGGAAGUAACAUAUCUGCCUUACCAUAUAAUAUGGGACAGCAAGCAUAAAUACAUCAAGACAAAUGAACAAGAAAAGUUUGAAGAAUGUAAAGGAAAGCCAAAAUUUAGCAUAUGAGAUGGACAAAUGUAUGAGAACAUGAUUCACGAUCUCUCAAAUCCCCUCUUUAAAGAACAUAGCAAUGCAGAGUAAACAACUGGAACAUUCAGCUGAGAGUCAUAAUCCUACUGAGAAUGGAUUCUAGCUGGGUGAUGUGUCAGCUAUCCUUUGCACCAUAAACACGUGUUGCCCCUCUGAACUACUUUUGUUAAGAGGAAGAACUAUUUUGCAUAUUCACCUUGUUCUGAAUAAAUGUCAAGAUGCCCUAUGGCAUGAAGAUCAGGAAAGUUUAGAUACCUUCACCUAUUUACCACAGAUUGUUGGCUCAAAAGACAUACCUGAAACUUUUGUCUGCGAGCAAUAUCAAUAACACUUUCUCGUGUAAUGCCUGGCAGAAUUGUCCCUCUCAAUGCUGGAGUACAUAUUGUUUUAUCCUAGGAGUUCACAAUCAAUGAAACAGACUAAAGUAAAGAUUUUUUGACAAUGAAAAUCACCAAAUUUCAGUAUACCAUUAUUUUACACUAGGAAAUUUGCCUUGUUCAAGAUCCACUGUCAAAUGAUAGAAAACAAAAACACAAAAAAUACAAAAAUAUGUAGGAAGAGAAAAACGGAAAAGCCGUGGCCAAUAGGAAGAUCUAUGACAACUGGAUUCCAGAUUUCAAAUCAACAUCAGAACACAAUGCUACAAGUUAUUCUGCUUGCAAAAUGAAUAAUAGGCAGAUUAUGAAGUGUUAUUUUUGUGAUAUAGAUGCAUGAGAUGUUAUCAUAUACUUCAUCUCCACCUUUUCAUUAACAUGCACUUGAUGCUUGAUAAAAUAUUUCUAAACCAAGCAUCCCUUCUGCAGAUUCUAAUUGGAUGUUUAUUGACUGAAGAAAUGACACUCCAAGAAUUUAGCUUUUCACAAAAAUUCCAAAACUCCCUAUAAAGAAAAUUUUAUUGCCCAACAAAAAACCCCACUGAGAUUCAACCUUCAAAGCUACAAAACAAUUGCAAAACAGAGAGCAUGACAAGUGAUAACAAGGACAGAAAAUUCAAAAGCUAACAAACAUAUGAUUUAAAAAUACAAUUGGACAUGUGUUAGCAUGGUAGUCAAACAGAACAUAAAACUUCAUAUGAAGCAUUGAACAGAGGCAAUAGAAUCUAAAGUGAAUUUGUGAAGAUGUGUCAGAACGGGGUGAUUGAUCUUUAUCAUGCUUAAGUGAAAUUGCUCGGCUAAAACAAUUUUUCAGAAGAUUCUCAAAGUUGCAAAUGCCAACAUCAUAGAAUUCUUAAUUUUUUUAUACAAACACAUUAGACUGCAAAUAUUUCCUUCGCGAACAUAAAAUGUGACAAGGCAUGUUAAAUAAUAUAACGGAGGACAUAGAUGACAAGGAAAAGUUAUUAUGGAAAUCGGCUUAAUGACAAGACCUUUAUAGGCUACUGUUUUCUUUAACUAGGAAAAAAGUUAAUAAUGUUGAGCUAUGGCUUAUAUUUGUUAUAGGGAAAUUUACUAUUUUCUAAGGCCCAUGCCAAAAGGGAGGAGAUCCAUGAUAAGGGCUGAUGUUUUUUCAUUGGGGAUGAUUAUGUAAAUCUUAUUUGUAUUAGGAAAUUUUUUUUAAGGAUUUUUUCAAUAUAAAUAGGGACUUAAUAUUCUCAUUCUCACAUAGUCAAAAAACAGGUGCCUGUCCGUAGAUGCACACACACUUACCAAACCAUGUAAAAUUCUUAUAUUUGUUUCUCUCUCCCCUUUUUCUAGUCAGUAUGUGCGUGUGUUCAAGGGUUAUUUUCUGCUAAAAAUAAGGAGAGAGAAUCUUGCUAGAUGUACCCAUGGCAGCUUAAGCCUUCCAUGCCAAACAAAGAAAGAAAAGAAAAGACUUGGUGUCUCAAUAUAAUUUUUAAUCAUGGUACUGCAACUGAAAUGAAAGCAAUGAUCCCACAGCUGUGUUACGUCAUGAUAAGCCAAUAUAAAGAUAUA